rnacentral:rRNA from 1 species
AUCUUCCGCAAUGGGCGAAAGCCUGACGGAGCAACGCCGCGCGAGUGAUGAAGGGUUUCGCCUCGUAACAUUCUGUUAUUAGGGAAGAACAAAUGUGUAAGUAACUGUGCACAUCUUGACUGUACCUAAUCAGAAAGCCACGGCUCACUACGUGCCAGCAGCCGCGGUAAUACGUAGGUGGCAAGCGUUAUCCGGAAUUAUUGGGCGUAAAGCGCGAGUAGGCGGUUUCUUAAGUCUGAUGUGAAAGCCCACGGCUCAACCGUGGAGGGUCAUUGGAAACUGAGAAACUUGAGUGCAGAAGAGGAAAGUGGAAUUCCAUGUGUAGCGGUGAAAUGCGCAGAGAUAUGGAGGAACACCAGUGGCGAAGGCGACUUUCUGGUCUGUAACUGACGCUGAUGUGCGAAAGCGUGGGGAUCAAACA